UGAUGGACGUCAAAACAACUUGUGUUCCAUAAAGCUAGUCUAAAUACAAACGUCUGUAACCUAAUAUCGCUUCUGUUUAGUUGAUUUCACUUUAAAAAUUUGUCACAGGAUGCUGCGCGGUCGGCUGCACAAACGGACAAGGAUAUAAACCAAACGUGUCAUUUUACUUUAUAACGUUUAACGAGGAAAGAUGCGGAAAUGAUGGCCGUCAAUCAUAAGGAGCAACUGUUAAUCAUAAAGACUGGCAACCCUGAUGUAAACACGGAUUAACAACCAACACUUUUUACAAGCUCAUAAAACGUUUUAUCCACUUUGGGAGAUAAAUUGAGCCUUCAUUUUCCUGUCGAUGUCAAAAUCCUGUGAAAACAAAUUCCAAGCAGCUUCAACAGCAGGCAGCAGGGGAGGGUACUGAAUCCACCAAUCCGACCGGACCAAGAUCAGACCCUUAACAGCACAGCUGUUGCCGAACUGGACACAGCGCUACAAACGCUGGGAGAAACCUCAAAGACAAGCAGCGCUAACGGAGCUCUUGCUACUGGAAAUGCUAAUGGAGCUAGAACACCGAUACUGGAUGUGAAACCACUGUGACACCAGAUGAAGUUCGGACAUUAACAACUGUUGCCGAACCGACGCAGCGCUAUAGAAGUACUUACCAGAUCACCCAGUCCGACCAGAGAUCGAUUUCAGUGUGCUCCAGUUCAAUUUGAAAAGGCUUAAAGACGUUGCAUACCACUGUUUUGGCUGGAUGGAGCAAAGGCAGUUGGACCAUUAUACAUCAUUUACCCAGAAUGCAUUGCAGUGUGAACAACAUGGUGACUUUCCUGUGACAAUAUUUUACUAAAAUGUAUAAAAACUAACGUACAGUAUUAUUACUGUAUUGUUUUUAUUUCCGAAAUAAAAUCUAUUGUUGCGACUAAUCCUG